GGGAUCUCUCUUCUGUCACUCAGGCUGGAGCAUAGUGGUGUAAUCAAUGAUAGUUCACUGCAGCCUUGAACUCCUGGGCUCAAGGGAUCCUCCUAUCUCAGCUUCCUGAGUAGUCGGGACUAAAGAACAUUUGGAUACCACUUACCUCUGAGACAGUUCUUUUGGAAAUUAUAAAUAUAUUUCUUUCCGGGGAUCAAAAGAAUCCACAUCAACAUGAAAGAUGAAGUGUUGAAUCUGAAUUCACAGCUGCUUUAUGCAAUCUGGAAAAAGUACGG
rnacentral:lncRNA from 10 species